rnacentral:rRNA from 1 species
UUAGAGUUUGAUUCAUGGCUCCAGGAUGAACGCUGGCGGCGUGCCUAAUACAUGCAAGUCGAGCGAACGGACGAGAAGCUUGCUUCUCUGAUGUUAGCGGCGGACGGGUGAGUAACACGUGGAUAACCUACCUAUAAGACUGGGAUAACUUCGGGAAACCGGAGCUAAUACCGGAUAAUAUUUUGAACCGCAUGGUUCAAAAGUGAAAGACGGUCUUGCUGUCACUUAUAGAUGGAUCCGCGCUGCAUUAGCUAGUUGGUAAGGUAACGGCUUACCAAGGCAACGAUGCAUAGCCGACCUGAGAGGGUGAUCGGCCACACUGGAACUGAGACACGGUCCAGACUCCUACGGGAGGCAGCAGUAGGGAAUCUUCCGCAAUGGGCGAAAGCCUGACGGAGCAACGCCGCGUGAGUGAUGAAGGUCUUCGGAUCGUAAAACUCUGUUAUUAGGGAAGAACAUAUGUGUAAGUAACUGUGCACAUCUUGACGGUACCUAAUCAGAAAGCCACGGCUAACUACGUGCCAGCAGCCGCGGUAAUACGUAGGUGGCAAGCGUUAUCCGGAAUUAUUGGGCGUAAAGCGCGCGUAGGCGGUUUUUUAAGUCUGAUGUGAAAGCCCACGGCUCAACCGUGGAGGGUCAUUGGAAACUGGAAAACUUGAGUGCAGAAGAGGAAAGUGGAAUUCCAUGUGUAGCGGUGAAAUGCGCAGAGAUAUGGAGGAACACCAGUGGCGAAGGCGACUUUCUGGUCUGUAACUGACGCUGAUGUGCGAAAGCGUGGGGAUCAAACAGGAUUAGAUACCCUGGUAGUCCACGCCGUAAACGAUGAGUGCUAAGUGUUAGGGGGUUUCCGCCCCUUAGUGCUGCAGCUAACGCAUUAAGCACUCCCGCCCGGGGGAG